AACUGAUUUUGACAAAAUCAUUGUUUGUUUUGAUUUGUGUGGAUGCAACAUUGUUUCAUUGUUAAAUUUGACUCAUUCUACAUCAAUUAAAUUUACUAUUCUUAAUUUAAACAAUAUUUGAAUACUCUGUGCUUUCAGCCACAUCAUCAAAUAGCAUAAGUUUUUAUUUCUUCUGCGUGUAAAACAAAAUAAGGUAAUCAUGGUCUGCCUUCCUUGCUUUUUUGCUCCUGUUAUGGUAGUUUUGCUUCUCAUUUGGACUAGGUAUCUCCAGCCAAUAUUCCAACCCAUAAUUGAUGCUUGGGUUACUCCUAAAGCGGUAAAUGAUCCGAAGAAAGAUGACGAAAAAUCAGAGGCAUCGACGUCAGAUAAGAAUGAAAAACCAAUCAAAGCUGAUUGAAUCUACUGAACAAACUGAGUCUUAACUGAUCACUACUCUCAAUUUAGAUGUUUUUACUUCAAAGAUUCUAAUUGCUUCAACUGUUCAUUCCAAAAUCUCAUCCUUCUUUACCCUAGUCUAAUUAAUCUGCAUGUAAAUAUUGGCCAUUACCUGAACCUGAUUGCCUUUUCCAAAUUGGCUGAUUCAAUGAUAAAGCUUAAUAAAUCUUGAUUAUUGGAUUAAUUUAACUGUUGAUUCAGUGAACUGCACUGAAAAUGAAUGUAAAUCACAAUAAAAAAUAAUUAAAAUGAUGGCUUAAACUGUUUAA